AACGCUGGCGGCGUGCCUAAUACAUGCAAGUCGAACGCUUCUUUCCUCCCGAGUGCUUGCACUCAAUUGGAAAGAGGAGUGGCGGACGGGUGAGUAACACGUGGGUAACCUACCCAUCAGAGGGGGAUAACACUUGGAAACAGGUGCUAAUACCGCAUAACAGUUUAUGCCGCAUGGCAUAAGAGUGAAAGGCGCUUUCGGGUGUCGCUGAUGGAUGGACCCGCGGUGCAUUAGCUAGUUGGUGAGGUAACGGCUCACCAAGGCCACGAUGCAUAGCCGA
rnacentral:rRNA from 1 species